UGUGCCCUGAGCGAUUUGCUGUGUCUCUAUAAUAAAGAAGAGCUCAAGCCCCACACCCUGAUGCUGCUCUUAGGUGGGAAAGGAAAGCACUGAAGGGAAGGAAGCUGUCAUUUUCUUGCUCUCCCCAUUCAUCACCUUUUCAGUAGAAGGAGAGAUGCUGACCCAGCGUGCUCCCCCGUGUGAGGUGCUGCUCUGAUGCUGAAGACAUGAAGGAGAGGAUGAUGCUACAUGAGUUUAUCUCCUUGCUAUUACCAAGGUCUGGGCUAGCAAGUGCAAACACAGGACAGCUUUGAGGUCAGAAAACAAAAGAAAAGACAAACAAACUGAAAGCCUGACCUGUUCCUGAUGUUUAUUUCCCAGCGUGAAAUGUAAGGAAAAUUAAAGUUGCCAGAGAUGAGAGUGUUGGAAGACAGUAAUUGAUCCUAUGUUCAUGUUUGGAAGACUCCAGCUUGGCAAUGAGCACUCACAAACAGGAUCCUAAGGCAGUGCCACUGUUUUCCUUAAAAACAGAAAUGCCCAUGGUCCCCUGGUGUUGGAUGAUGUUGUGCAAGAAGUUUUGCUACCAAUAUAGCAGUCUAGCAAAGUUAUGGUCCAGCAUCAGGCUCUGGCUCUGCAUGAUGCUCCGGUCACUGGGCUGGGCAUAGAGGAUGACCAUCUCCUUCUCGUUCUUCAUCAGGUGCAGUGUGCAGGACAGAGUGCCAAAUAGCUGCAACAAGCAUGGACCAAACUGGGACUUGCUCUGCACAAACAGUAGCUUGAGAACGGCUACUGCAUUUUCAGCUGAUAGUGGCAAACUCCAAAGUCCCUGAAGACUGGAUGAAAUGAAGAGGCAGAAAAUGUUUCAGGUGGUGGCCAGUGAAUGAGUUUUCUUUAAGCUCCCCUGUAGCCUCCAUCUAGGGAGGGAAUGGAGCUGGCGGCAGGCAAAUGCCUCCUCGUACCAUGCAUAAUUAGUGUCAUUCUGCUCAUUGCAGUGGUGUUUCAUACAGAACAGAUUUUGAAUUGAUGCCUUUUUGGACCUUAUCCAGAGUCCAAUUAGUCAGAUGGACUCUGUUGACCUCAGGCUGGGAACAGCUCAUAGAGCUCCUCUUCUACCAGCUCUAAUUCCUGGAAUAGGUGGGGAUGGCAGUGCCUAGAAAUCCCUGCUUUCAGAAAUGGAACAAUGAGCGUUUUGCAGAGGGAGAGAAGGUAUCUACCUAUGAGUUAUACAAAGGCUUCACAGGGCACAACAUAGACUAGUCAAGAAAAUACAGAAAAAAAUGAUCAGUUUGGGGCAAGGUACUUGGAUUGCACAGGCAUUGUUGGGAGAUGUUUUCUUCCCGUUCUUACCUGCCCCAAAAGAGCUGUCAUUCGCACCUUUUAUUACUUGGUGUAAUCCAGCUCCCUGGAAACUAGAUGAAUACUUAUUAGCAGCAGUAUAAUAACUUUGCUUCUGACAGCACUGAAAGUUCUUUCAUCAAAUCUGUCAUAACUCAAAAUGAUCUUUCUAGUUGUAAUUGUACUUUAUUCUAGGUACAAGUCUGAGGGAUUAAUGCUCCUUUAUAUCAGUGUACAGGGCCUGAAUUCUCAUUUUCAUUAAGUCCUUUUUAAUUUUCAUUCAGUCCUUAAGCCAUCUUUGUGCUGCCAACCAGGACCAGAAAUGCAAAGCGAGCCUAAAUGGACAGCAGAUCAUAAAUAACCAGCCCGUACGUGACCAGAACAAAAAGCUUGCACUACAGAGAGUGUUUGAGGUCCAAGUAAUGUUUCUGGGGUCUCCUUUGCAGCGAUUAAGGCUUGUUCAUACAUAUAUAUAAUGGUCUAAGGAAGACCACAUAUUCACUCAGAGACCCAGACAACUGGGGCCAAUAUAUCCUCCAUGGGACUAAAAGCUGUUUAGUCCUUGGGACUGCGGAUAGUCAAUAACCUGGGGAUGAAGUCUAAGGCAUUUGAUUACAUUAGCUGAACAUUAAAACUGGAGGACAUAAUUGCUCAUAAUACCUUCAUGAAGGAGAAAGAGCAUUCAUUAAAAGGGGCAUUCAUAAUGGGUGGCAGGCAAAGGCUUCAUAAAUAUAAAGAAAUUACUUCUACAUUUUUAUAGGCCAUUAUUCUCCUUAAGAUGAAUGACAUUCCUAUUUUUAGAAGUGGCUUAAGGAAGAAAAGUCGGGGUGAAAAAUCAAUGUUCAGGUUGUGCACCUUUUACAUCACUAUAAUCCAAGCACCCAUUGAGGAAAUUGUGGCUGUUUGCGUGAUUCAUGAAGAACAAUUACUCAAGUUAUUGGCUAAAAAUUGCAUUUGGAAAGUGAAGCCAACCAGGCACAAAUCCAGUCAAUUCAGGGCAUCCUGAACUGACACCCAGAGCCUCACACACAUUUUCCUUCAUGAUUUUACAUUCCCAAGUUGCUCAAUCUUCUGGAAAUGGUGUCAGAUGUGCAUUUGGGGCCAACCUAAUUCUUUUGUGUGCAUGUAUCUGCCACUGUCCUCCCUACUGAAUACAGAAACACGUAUUUGCUUGCAAAAUAUCUGAUUAGCUGAAGCUUCAGUGAUGUAUGCAAGUAAACAGUUUUUCAGUUUUGCAGUUUGCUUAUAACAGUCAAGAAAGGACUGGAGAAGUAAAACAGGAAAGAACUGGAGGGAAAGGAGUCUGAGAAGGCUGAAAGAAUGAAGAAUCCGGUGGUAUGGGGUUCAGGUUGAAAGGCAUCCAGCAUAAAGCCAGAAGCCAGGUGAGGAAAAAAUUUAAAACCAGAGGAAUGAAGUGUGCAACAGGAAAGGAAAUAAACUACUAAGGAUUUCUGUAUAACAAACCAUGUCAAUCUGAAGAAGAAAAUGAUUUAAGCCAAAUUUUGGAGGAGAAGCAGACACAAUCUUAUGAUGGAAGGGAAGUCAAACAUGGUGCCUUAAAGAUUAAAAAAGAUAUAAAAGGGAAGACAGAGCUUAGCAUUUGAGAUCUGUGAGGCAAAGUGAGCUGUUUUUUGUUUUUUGUUUUUUUUUUUUUUUAGCUAUUUUAUCUUUUUCCCCAAGGAUAAUUAUUGUGAUUUCAUUUUGACACAUGUGGUGAUGAUGGAAGGCAGCGAGCAAGGAGCUCAGCAUUGCUCUGCUCCAGGGAAAGCGCUUCUGGCUUUGGAAACUUUAGGGUCCAUAAAUGUUUCACCUGGCCACAAGAGGAGGUUUUUCAGCCCUUCCUCUCUCAAAACCAUUAUUCCAGUUCAGCUUCUUUGGCUCUUCUUUGAGCUUGGGUUCAUAUUGAAACACUUGACGGGCCAAUGAUGAGUUUGAAACAUUUCUGUUGCAAAUCUUGUGGUGACAUUCAGAAAAAUGUGAAUUGUUUUGAUGUUUGUGGUGCUUCCUGCAGAGUGCUUGAGGAGCAGAUAGCUCACUGUGAGGCCGGGCAUCCAGCUGGUUUGGGUGCAAUGCAUAAUGCUAAGAUAAAUGAUCUCAGUCUUCCCAAAAAUGCUUCCAAGCCCUCCCCAUGCCAUACCCAUUGAACACCACGCAGUCAGCAUCUCCAGGAUAAAACCAACCAAGAUAUGAGGGAAGAAGAAAUUCUCCAUAUGUUAAAUGGGUGUAGCAGUAUUUAACAGUAUUUUGGCAAGCAAUGAAAAUUUAUGAAUCGUGAAAUGAGACAUCCAAAUCUGACAGAAGCAGUUAAUUUCAGGGCAUUCUCGUGCUGACGAUAGCUGGUGGUUGGUUGUGUUCACCAUAACAUUGGAAUAUAUACUACUGUUGAAAGGCUGUUUGAAUGUACUAGAAGGUUUCUUUGACUGGAACUAUACUUUAGAUAAGGUUUAAAAAGUCUUUGUUGUUUUGGGUUUUUUUGGUCCCUUCUCUGAAUUUGAGUAGACAGACAAGUUUACAACAAAAAAUGUAGGCCAACAGGCAUUUUAUUUACUCUUGCUAUGAAUAACCUGCCUCAAAACUGCUGGUUUUCCAGCAACACCUGUCAUUCCAGGUGUCUACCAGCUGGAAAAGUUGAAUUCCUUCCAUGCAGAGCUUUAGGGAUGCCACAAACAUUUGUGAGGGAAGGGCAAAAACUGUUUCCAUUCUGGGAGUUAAAUGAUGUGAUGCUUUCUACCUGUGUGCAACUUCUUAUUUAAAUAUGUUUUCUUGACGUUGAGAGCACCUUGAUUGAUUUCUCAGCUCAUGAUUGAGUUUAAUCUCACAGCUCAAAGUAGUAGCUUAUGUAUGAGGUGCAUUUGCUCAUGCAAAGCUUUUUAAUGACACUGUAUUCCUGAAGAAUUUUAACGCUCCCAUAUAAAGCAACACAUCUGGGCAACAGCGAGGACAAAAAAUCCCCAUAAUAUCUGCAAAAAUAGCUUGCUUGCUCUGUACAUGGGAAAAUCAAAAGGAAACAGAGCAAAUCAAGCUGGGGCCUGGGCCAAAGGCAUCUCCCCUGUGUUAGCAAUGUGGGGACAGCAGAGUCCUAAGCCUGGCCAAACCAUGACAGACCAUCUCGAGCUCUGCAAGCAGCCCCUCUGGGAUCUAUUGGGCUUCUCCUAUCACAGAAUAGCAGUACAGAUCUGCAUUAACCCACCACAGGGCCCUGUUUUCACUGGCACAAGUGUGGAUACAUAAUGUUCUUACCUUGCAGGGAUGCUCGGAGAUUAAAUCCCAACCAUUGCUGUGCUGAGCUCAUGCACUGCAACAGCAAGAAUUCAUGAGGCAGAAAUCGUUCUUGGAUCCUGGAGCCGCACUUUAAAUUUUUGCUAACGUUUUACUUCCUGUUAUUGCUAUGGCUUCACUUGGAAAAGCAAUCUCUGACUGUCUUUGCUCUGAAUUCACUGUGCACGGGACGACACCAGCCGCUGCCCAUUUUAAUUAGCGAUAAAUCUGAGCCAAAAACCCAUGAGGGCGGUUAAGAUUAAAACCCUACUUGUGCCACAGAGAUGGAAAACACAUGGAUGUGUCAGCUUCGGACCUUGGCACUAUUCCAGAGAUGGAAAUCAUUCCGCUUCUGCAUUUUUUUUUUUUUUACCUUUUGUCUCCUUUUUUGCCCUGAGAUCCUUGUCACUCCAGCCCUCCUUGCAUCGCCAGCAGCAGGAAACGAAGCAGUGCUGGGGCCGCUCCUGUCUGGACACUGGACUUCCUCUUGGAAAUGAUUUGUUUGAGAUUUAUUUAUUUUUUUUCCCCAGGAGGAUCUAAAAUUUCUUCACGAAUCCAAAACUAUGGAAGAGCGUCAGUGCUGAGCACGGGGCGGUUCUGCUCCAACGUGAUGCUGCAGAGAUGCUCCUCUCAGGCUGGACAUCAACAGACUGUAUGUAGCCAUGGAGAGACUUAGUCUUGCAGAAAAGAACAUUUGGAUCCUGAAGAGCAGCGUGGUUUAAAAGUUUCCACUGUCAGCAGUGGUUUGCAGAUGACCUUGUUAACACCCUCUUGUCCUCGGUGUUUAUACAUUGUGCUGGGGUGAAGAGGAGUUGGGAGCAAUGCUGGGGACAGCUCGAGCCCUGUGAGCUGGCUGGGAAUAGAGGCACAGCCAGGAUCUGAACUCUGAAAGGCCCAGAAUGCUAUCUGCAUCCACAGUUUGCAAUAGCCUCUGAGAUGCUUGGUCAGAGUUUGUAGAUUUUCUGGGUAGUUCUAUUUUAGGAUGAACUUUGGCAUGUGGAUGAAGUCCCUGAUGUCUCUGCCCAGGAGGAACUGUUCUUGCUGUGAUGCCCACAGGAACACCAUUGUUCCCGCUGAUGUGCAGCAGCGUCCUGCAGGGCAACCACAAUGCCACGUGCACAUCCCACCCAUGGGCAUAGGAAGAGGUGAGGAUCCCGAGCAAAGCCCCUCCUAUUGCUGCACACACCCAGACCCAGGGAAUUCCAUGGAUUUAGUGCAGGUGCCCUGCAAGCACCCUAUGGGAAGAAGGUGUUCCUCUGUGGAAAUGGAUGGGUACACAUGGGCACUAACAUCUUCGCAUGGUACCACGCUACAGGCAGCUAUCACACAUCACAAAGAGGCAGCAAAAGGAUUUUUCUGGCUCCUAAACAAACGCCCAUCCCAGUGCAAGCCCAGACAGUGAUUCAGCCCCAUGCUGCCGCCACAGCAGCCCACUUGCAGUGAAAUCAUUUGCAGGGCAGCUUCUCCCAUGGAGCAAAGAGCACUGGUGAGGUGGAUGGCACCAAGGCUCCUUCACCUAUUGUAGCUGAAAGGCACAUUCCUGGGCAUGGUUUGGCUCCAUCCUGCCUUAGCUGCAGCCCCUUCCUGAGCGCAACCAGACUGGGCAGCAGUGCUGCAGCUGAGGGUGGGUGCGGAAGCGAGCAGCGUUAGCAGAAACAAACUGCAGCUGGUUCAGCCGUAAUCUGGCCUUGCGCCUCUUUCUCCUGCUGUGGUGAAGCAGAAGAGAGGAAGCAGUGUGGGCAGAGACCACCUCUUGCUAUGACUCACCCACACAACCUGCUUCUGCAGGGUGGGAAUGCUUUGUUCCCCAUAGCAAUAGUAUUUUUCUCCCAACUUAU